rnacentral:rRNA from 1 species
GACGAACGCUGGCGGCGUGCCUAAUACAUGCAAGUAGAACGCUGAAGGAGGAGCUUGCUUCUCUGGAUGAGUUGCGAACGGGUGAGUAACGCGUAGGUAACCUGCCUUGUAGCGGGGGAUAACUAUUGGAAACGAUAGCUAAUACCGCAUAAUAGUAGAUGUUGCAUGACAUUUGCUUAAAAGUUGCAAUUGCAUCACUACCAGAUGGACCUGCGUUGUAUUAGCUAGUUGGUGGGGUAAAGGCUCACCAAGGCGAGGAUGCAUAGCCGACCGGAGAGGGGGGGCGGCCGGACUGGGAGUGAGACCGGGCCCAGAGUGCUACGGGAGGCAGCAGUAGGGAAUCGUGGGGAAGGGAUGGAAGUCUGACCGAGAAACGCCGAGGGAGUGAAGAAGGGUGUCGGAUCGUAAAGGUCGGUUGUAAGAGAAGAACGAGUGUGAGAGUGGAAAGUUCACACUGUGACGGUAUCUUAUCAGAAAGGAACGGCUAACUACGUG